GUGCAUGUCCAUACCACCCUUAACUCACCUGAUCUUGGAAACUAAGCAGGGCCAGCCCUGGUUAGUACCCGGAUGGGAGAAAGUAGGUCAGAGUGACU
rnacentral:rRNA from 1 species